GUAAAAUUUCGUGUUUGACGUUAGCUUUAUCAGAUCGCGUUUGAGUGUUCAUUUGAUACUGAUAUCUGACAGAAUUUCAUUUUGAUUCAAGUUACCAUGAAGUCAGCAGUCAUAUUUGUCGCCUUUUUCUUGUUUUUGAUUGUCAACGCAGAUGUUAUUAACUUUGCCAAUCGAAAAUACAUGAAGAGCAAUUUAAAACCUGAACAGAAACUGAUAUAUGGAGGAAGAAGAUUGUAUUAUUAUUUUGGUGGUGCAAAUCAUAAUCCACAUUCUUAUCGAUAUUAUUUUCCUGCAAAAGCUGGGCGCAGCGUUGGACGAAGAGGCGGGCGUUUUGGUCGUCGCUGAUUGACUCAAUGUUUAAGCAUAACACAAUUAAGGUUCAAACAGCAAGUUUUACAUUUUAACUCAUUAAUUUUACCUAUUUUAUAUAAUAACUUCAUUAAUUUCAGGUAUUUCAAGUCUGCUUUAGUAAUCUGUCAAUUUA